UACGUAGGGAGCACGCGUUGUCCGGAAUCAUUGGGCGUAAAGCGCGCGUAGGUGGCCAUGUAAGUCCGCUGUGAAAGUCAAAGGCUCAACCUUUGAAAGCCGGUGGAUACUGCAUGGCUAGAGUACGGAAGAGGCGAGUGGAAUUCCUGGUGUAGCGGUGGAAUGCGCAGAUAUCAGGAGGAACACCAAUAGCGAAGGCAGCUCGCUGGGACGUUACUGACACUGAGGCGCGAAAGCGUGGGGAGCGAACAGG
rnacentral:rRNA from 1 species